CCCUUAGAUGUUCUGGGCUGCACGCGCGCUACACUGAAGCGUUCAACGAGUAUUCACCUUGCCCGGGAGGGUUGGGUAAUCUUUUGAAAACGCUUCGUGAUGGGGAUAGAUUAUUGCAAUUAUUAAUCUUCAACGAGGAAUUCCUAGUAGACGUAGUUCAUCAGACUGCAUCGAUUACGUCCCUGCCCUUUGUACACACCGCCCGUCGCUCCUACCGAUUGAAUGCUCAGGUGAGCCAUUCGGACUUUCAUCAUGCUGGUUUCCAGUUUUGAUGAAGGAAAGUCUUGCGAACCUUAUCAUUUAGAGGAAGGAGAAGUCGUAACA
rnacentral:rRNA from 1 species